AAGCAUGCGUACAGCGGGCAUGAAUCCCAAUCCGUAAACCCAGGCGAGCAUGAAAUGAGCUUAUUUUCCUCACAACUUCAUUUCCGUUUUGAGACCCCAUUCCACUGGGGUGCUAUCCCUUUCCCCCAAAGCCAUGGCCAAGUGGCAGGGGCUGGUAUCAUGCCAAGAUGUGGAUGGGGGGUGGGCUUAGGACUCAGGAGCUGUCCACACAGUGACCCAGACUGGUCCUAGAGCAUCUGUUACAUGCUGACCGCUUGCACCAUCUGCUUUUCGCCCUGUGACAUCUUUCCAGAUGGAAGUAAUGAUACUUCGAAGAGCUGUCGUGAGGAUUCGGAGAUGUAAUGGAAGUCCUCACCACAUAGUACGUGCUCAUCAGAUGAUAUUAUCCCUGUGGAGGAUUGCUUGUCCGCAGGAACCCAGGGAAAGGGGGAAAGACAAGUCUCCGUACAGAACUCCUCUGAGGCUGGCUGUGCUUCAGGCAUCAGGGUGGCAACGGUCAGGUGGUGGUGAGGGUCAGGGCACAGGCUUCGUACAUUGAAACCUUAGAGAAAUAUGAUGUGCCAGGAAGCAUGACCCAGGCAUCAGUGAAAGCCUGAACAGCCAGGAGAAAGAAGGAUGUUUAAAUUAUAUCCCUGAAUGAUC